rnacentral:lncRNA from 1 species
UUGUUCAAUUGCUGCUCCAUCUUAUUAAUCUACGAUGGCAAAAUAUAGAAAAGAGUUAGCACGGAUUUGUUAGUGGAGUUACAAAAUUAAUGAAUAUGGGACAAAAUAUCAUCGUCGCUCAAAAAAGAAAAAUUAAAAAAGAAAAGAAAAAUCCCAGAUGACGGAAUAAAUCAUAAACUAAAUUCAAAGGAACAUUAUUAGGUACUUAGAAAUUACGAUCGAUGGCACACAAAGGGAAAGUAGACUUAACCACUAUC